GGUACUCGAGUGGCGAACGGGUGAGUAACACGUGGGUGAUCUGCCUUGCACUUCGGGAUAAGCCUGGGAAACUGGGUCUAAUACCGGAUAGGACCAUGCUUUAGUGUGUGUGGUGGAAAGUUUUUUCGGUGCAAGAUGAGCCCGCGGCCUAUCAGCUUGUUGGUGGGGUAAUGGCCUACCAAGGCGACGACGGGUAGCCGGCCUGAGAGGGUGUACGGCCACAUUGGGACUGAGACACGGCCCAGACUCCUACGGGAGGCAGCAGUGGGGAAUAUUGCACAAUGGGCGCAAGCCUGAUGCAGCGACGCCGCGUGGGGGAUGACGGCCUUCGGGUUGUAAACUCCUUUCGCUAGGGAAGAAGCCACUGUGUGGUGACGGUACCUGGAUAAGAAGCACCGGCUAACUACGUGCCAGCAGCCGCGGUAAUACGUAGGGUGCGAGCGUUGUCCGGAAUUACUGGGCGUAAAGAGCUCGUAGGUGGUUUGUCGCGUCGUCUGUGAAAUCCCGGGGCUUAACUUCGGGCGUGCAGGCGAUACGGGCAUAACUAGAGUGCUGUAGGGGAGACUGGAAUUCCUGGUGUAGCGGUGAAAUGCGCAGAUAUCAGGAGGAACACCGAUGGCGAAGGCAGGUCUCUGGGCAGUUACUGACGCUGAGGAGCGAAAGCAUGGGUAGCGAACAGGAUUAGAUACCCUGGUAGUCCAUGCCGUAAACGGUGGGCGCUAGGUGUGGGGGUUUUAUUUACGAUUCCCGUGCCGUAGCUAACGCAUUAAGCACUCCGCCUGGGGAGUACGACCGCAAGGUU
rnacentral:rRNA from 1 species